ACGGCCGUACCAUGCUGAAUAUACCGGUUCUCGUUAGAUCACCGAAGUCAAGCAUCAUUGGGCGCGGUCAGUACUUGGGUGGGUGACCACCUGGGAACACC